rnacentral:rRNA from 1 species
UACGUAGGGUGCGAGCGUUAAUCGGAAUUACUGGGCGUAAAGCGUGCGCAGGCGGUUUUGUAAGCCAGAUGUGAAAUCCCCGGGCUCAACCUGGGAAUGGCAUUUGGGACUGCAAGGCUGGAGUGCGGCAGAGGAGACUGGAAUUCCUGGUGUAGCAGUGGAAUGCGUAGAUAUCAGGAGGAAUACCGAUGGCGAAGGCAGGUCUCUGGGCUGACACUGACGCUCAUGCACGAAAGCGUGGGGAGCAAACAGG